rnacentral:rRNA from 1 species
AUAGACUUUUGCCAAUGCUAUUAGGUGGAUGACUUGGCUUAAGACGCUGAAGAAGGGCAUGACAAGCUAUGAAAUGUCUCGGCAAGAUGCAUGUAAUCUUUGAACCGAGAAUUCCUGAAUGCGACUUCGCAAUUGAUCCGAAAGGAUGGGGAAUGCAGGGAAUUGAAACGUCUUAGUACCUGCAAGAAAAGAAAUCAAUUGAGAUGCUGCUAGUAAGAGCGACUGAACACAGCAAAAGGCAAACCGAAUUUCUUUCUGAAAGGGAAGAAAAAUGUGGUGUUACAGACUGCUCAUAUAAAUCCUCUUUAGGGAACUCAAACUUUCCUGGAAAGGAAGGCCAAAGAGAGUGAUAGCCUCGUAGAGGCAACUUAGAAGGAUUUGAGCAGUAUCUUGAGUAUCAUUCAUCGGAUAUUGAAUGAGAAUAUGGGAGGCAUCAAUUUCCAACCUUAAAUACUUCUUAAGUCCGAUAGCGAAUAAAGUACUAUGAGGGAACGUUGAAAAGAACCCUCGACCGGAAGUUAAAAGAGCCUGAAACCUAAUAGCUAUAGUAAGGUACUGCUCUAUGGAGUUGUACCGUUCGUUUCGAAUAACGAGCCAGGGAGUUUGUUCGAGUGGCGAGGAUAAUCUUUUUGAGCAUCCGAAGCGAAAGCGAUAUGCCUGUAGCUUGCGAGAGGCGUGGUAUGAAAGUGCCUGAAGUCACUCGGGCUUGACCCGAAGCCGGGCGAUCUAGCCCUGGGUAAGGUGAAGUGUGGGUAAAACCACAUGAAGGCCUGAAGAGGUUCUACGAGCAAGUGUUCUUCUAACCUGGGGUUAGGGGUGAAAAGCCAAUCGAGCUCGGCGAUAGCUGGUUCCUACCGAAUUUGGCCGCAGUCAAGUCUUGAAGAAGAGUGCUAAGAUUGUAGAGAUACGGGUUGAAGAUUUGGGUCUCGAAAGAGAUCGAUUUUCUGUCCAACUCCGAAUAUCUUAGCCUUGUAGAUUUCAGGAGACGGGGAGUCUUGGGGUAAACUUGACUUCCGAAAGGGGAACAACCCAGACUGCAGUUAAGGUCCCUAAUAUUGACUAAGUGUUAAAGGCAGAAAAGUGUCCAUCGUCAAAGACAGCGAGGAGGUUGGCUCAGAAGCAGCCACCCUUUAAAAAGUGCGUAACAGCUUACUCGUCAAGAUGAUGGGCCUUGAAAAUGGACGGGGCUAAGUCAAUUACCGAUACUGCAGAAUACCCAAAAGGUAUUUAGUAGGUAGGCGUUCUGUAAGGGUAGAAGUAUUUUCGUAAGAAAAUAUGCACCUUAUAGAAAUGAGAAUCCUGGAGGUAGUAGGAUCGUAGCACUGUUAGAAUCAGUGCCACCGAAAGGGCAAGGGUUCCUUGACAAUACAAAUUAGUCAAGGGUUAGUCGAUCCUAACUAAGUUCAUAAAUUGAACAAUAGGAAAGGGAAAAAGGUUAAUAUUCCUUUACCAUCUGAAUAUGCGCGGCAACGCAAGUCUAUCAAUUAACGCAUCCGGUUAGGUUAACAUAAGCUACCACUUAUGUCAACUAAAACAAAUCAAGGGAGUAUCGUAAUGAUGAGAACUUGAUUAAGUUUAGGAUGAGUGCCUCUUUGAGGCAUUUAACCAAUACCCGGUGCCCGUGAAAAGAUUGAUGGAAAAAAUUUCAGAUGAUCGUACCGAGAACCAGCACAGGUGCCCCUAGGUGAGAAGCCUAAGGUGAGAAGGUGUAAUGUAGUUGAGGGAACUCGGCAAAUUGGCUCCGUACCUUUGGUAUAAGGAGUCCCUGCGAUUGUUGCUAAGCAAGCAAUUGCAGGGUGCAAUAACAAAGUGGGUCCGACUGUUUAACAAAAACUUAACUGACUGCAAGCCUGUAAAGGUGUGUAUAGUCAGUGACGUCUGCCCAGUGCCUGUACUUUAAACCUUCAUUCAAGAGGGCUAAGAGCAGGUAAACGGCGGGAGUAACUAUAACUCUCUUAAGGUAGCGUAAUACCUUGUCGUUUGAUUGACGACUUGCAUGAAUGACGUAACGAGAUCCACACUGUCCCCAACUAGAAACCUCUGAACACUCUAUACUGGUGCAAAGGCCAGUGAUCUCCAGUGGGAAGCGAAGACCCCGUGAAACUUUACUGCAGCAUGUUGUUGCAAUGUAGGUUUUGAUACGUAGUGUAGGUGGGAGUUGCUAAGGCUUAACUUUCGGGUUAAGUGUAGACAUCAAUGAAACACCACUUGUCAAAGCUUACGUUGCUCACUUCGAAAGAAGGACAUCAAUAUGUGGACAGUUUGGCUGGGGUGGCACCCGGUUGAAAAGAUAUCAACCGGGCCCAAUGGUUGACUCAAGCGGGUCAGAAAUCCGCUGCAGAGUGCAAGGGCAAAAGUCAGCCUGACUGAAUUCAUAACAAGAUUGUAUUCAGAGCAGAAAUGCGGGCCUAGCGAACCUCUAUGUCCUCCUUGAUGGGGGCUAGAGAUGACCGAAAAGUUACUCCGGGGAUAACAGAGUUGUCGCGCCCGAGAGUUCACAUCGACGGCGCGGCUUGCUACAUCGAUGUCGGCUCCUCCUAUCCUGGCUGUGCAGAAGCAGCCAAGGGUGCGGGUGUUCACCGAUUAAAAGGGGUCGUGAGCUGGGUUCAGAACGCUGUGAGGCAGUUUGUUUGAUAUCUACUGGAGAUGUUGAUGUCUGAUAGGAAGGAAGCUAUAGUACGAGAGGAACUGGCUUUCGAGGCCUCUGGUCUACCUGUUAUCUGGGAAGGUAAGCAGGGCAGCUACGCCUUACAAGGAUAAGUGCUGAAAGCAUCUAAGCACGAAGCCUUCCUAAAAAAUAGACAUCAUAGAACACUCAUAAAAUAUGAGUUUGAUGGAGCAGAUGUGUAAGCACGAAGCCUCGGCGACGUGUUCAGCAUGCUGCUUCCAACAGUUCAUCCUUAAGUCUAU